UACAGAGGUCUCAAGCGUUGUUCGGAUUCAUUGGGCGUAAAGGGUGCGUAGGCGGUCGGGUAAGUCUGAUGUGAAAUCUCUGGGCUUAACCCAGAAAUGGCAUUGGAUACUAUUCGGCUUGAGGUCUGGAGGGGGGACUGGAAUUCUCGGUGUAGCAGUGAAAUGCGUAGAUAUCGAGAGGAACACCAGUGGCGAAGGCGAGUCCCUGGACAGGUCCUGACGCUGAGGCACGAAAGCUAGGGGAGCAAACAGG
rnacentral:rRNA from 1 species